AACAAACGCUGGCGGCGUGCCUAAUACAUGCAAGUCGAAUGGGGACAGCUUUCGGGUGAGUACUAGUGGCGCACGGGAGAGUAACGCGUGGAUAGUCUGCUUUAGAGUGGGGGAUAACUAGUCGAAAGAUUAGCUAAUACCGCAUAAGACCACAAGAACUGCGGUUCAAGGGGACAAAGGUUUUUCGCUCUAAGAUGAGUCCGCGUAAGAUUAGCUAGUUGGUGAGGUAAUGGCUCACCAAGGCGACGAUCUUUAACUGGUCUGAGAGGAUGAUCAGUCACACUGGAACUGAGAAACGGUCCAGAGUCCUACGGGAGGCAGCAGUAGGGAAUAUUGCACAAUGGAGGAAACUCUGAUGCAGCGACGCCGCGUGAGUGAUGAAGGCCUUCGGGUCGUAAAGCUCUGUCGCAAGGGAAUAACACAAUGAAUGUACCUUGCAAGAAAGGAUCGGCUAACUUCGUGCCAGCCGCCGCUGUAAGAC
rnacentral:rRNA from 1 species